GAUCCCAUAAAGGGAGAGAGCACAAAGGCCUAAAAGCCACAGACGCUUGGGGCUCUCAUGCGCGGCUGCCCUUGAACUCUCAGUAGAACUAAGAGGACACAGAGGGCCGCAUCCUGCUAGCCAGAUGAGGGGUCCUGGGCUGAGAGAAGACAAAAGCUGGUGGAGCAAAAUGACUCCACGUAGUUCCCAAAGCACUCCUUCUUGGUCCUCUGAAGCUGUCUGCAGGGUGUUCUUCACUCCUUUGAACAAGCUGAGAAUACAGAGUCAUGAUCUCCUGGUACCUGUAAAUCCACUGUAUCUUCCUGGGCGCCGUGGCGCACGCUGAGGCAUCUGAGGCCGGUUAGGGUUUGCCAAGGCCUCCCCCUUAGAGACCACUCAUUCCCACUUACAAACAGAGAGGCCUGUCAUUAACAAGGAGCAAACCGAGUUUGACUUGUUUUCAUGCCCAUGGGGGGCGGGUCAAUGGGAAAACUCCAUUUGGAAUUGUCCACAGUCCCUAGAAAUGUCUAGAAAUCCCAUCCUCUUGGGGAAGGCGGGGAAGGACACAGACAUUUAGUGUUAAUAGGCAGACACUAAGGAACCCUACCUCCUCAGCCUCCCUUAGGGUGGUCUCAGGAAAUAAGGAAAUAUUUCGGUCUGCUAAAUAGCAGGAGGUUUGUGGGCCUGGGUGCAGGCAUGAUCCCCAUCCUGGAAGGCCUUUCUGAGCUGUGGAAACCCUGCUGGCCUUUGAGGGAGGGGGUGUUCAUAGAAAGUACCAUUUGUUACCAUUUCCCAACCAACUAAUGCACUUCCUAUUUGGUAUGAGUACUAGUGAAGUUCCCAGUCUUCAGUCUGAAAAUUCUAAAGCCCUUUAAAGUCUGAAGAACGAAAACAGACCGUGUGAGUCACCCCCGAGAGUGAGCUACUUUGGCUUUCCUUCUUAGGGAUACAUUAAUUAGAAAACAACAUUUGGAAGAACAGGAGAAUAUGCUGGCUCUCAUAGUGCCUGCAGAGGGGUCGACAGAAUGUGAUCACUUGGUCAAGGAGAGCAUAGAAGAAGAAAAAAAAACAAACGAACAAACGUUUCAGCAGUGUCUAAAAAUUGUUCACAGGGCCCUAAUAAAUAAGAAUUUAUUUCUUGGUGUAAUAUCAUAAAGUUGUUAUGCUACAUAAAAAGAUAUUUCAGAAAUAAUUUGCUAGAUAAAAAAAAAAAAAAAGUUGACCUGAAGUCUCUCUCUGUCAGCAAAACAGUUUCACAGUGGCAAAUACAUGUGUUCGAGUCAGAUUGGUCUUAGCUUCCAAAUUUAAGGAAAAUGUUGGCAAGAAGGGUUUAUUAAAUUAGGUCACCCGGAAGGGGAAAGGGGGACUUUGAAGUUUUUAAAUUCUCAUUAUUUUUUCUCAUUUCAAAAGCACUGUGGAAAAAAAUUGUGAAAAUUAAGAAAUUCAGAGACACAAAGGUAGAAAUCAAACAGCAAUUCUCUUUCUACCUGGUGGAGAGAGAGCUAUUGCACCACGAGUGCUGUACAAUUCUCACAGAAAAGGGUCCGAGUCCUAUGCACUGUUUUGAAAACCACUCCUUUGUUCGAAAUGAAAUCUUAAUUUGUUUCCAAGUUAACAACAACUAGCUUUCUGCAAUGUCGGCGACUGCAAAGCGAGGACCGUGGACCAGGUGAGCAGAUGGGCAUUUUCCUAAUGCUGGGCAUUUAAAGCCACGUGCAAUUCUUUAUUUUAAAUAAUGUUUCUGUGAAUUAGCUUGUCUUUACUUAAUUAGUUACUUAGUGAGUUAUUUAGUUAUUUUACUUUUCCUUUGAGAUGUAUGCCAGAUUCAUGACCAGCCACAGAGGGGAGAGGUUAGAGGAAGUUUGAGUGUGAUGUAUUGGUUCCCUUCUCUUCCUUCUCCUUUCUGUCUUUUGCAGAUCAAGCACUGAGAGGUCCUCAGCCCCUACAGCACUAAUGAAUGCCUCACAUCUCCUGGUUGACCUUACAGCAUGUGGGAAGGGAAUUCUAAAGCCCCACUGAGAUGGUCAGGGAAUCCCUGGGGGUAAAAAAGAGGUGGGAUUUCUGUUCUAGGUCCUUCAGGCAAAGAGGAAUGAGCAUAGCCUGCCUCUUGGAAGGAGCGGUGGGGAAAGACAAGCCAUCUCUCAAACAUACGCACGUAAGCACGCACGCACGCAUGCAUUCCCCCAUCACUGCAAGGUCAGCGCAAAGGGUGGGACUGGGAGUCAACAGGCGCUUCCUGGUUUCAUUGAUGAAUGAUUGUCUAAUACUCAGCUGAGUGACACUCUUUUCCUGCAGUCUGCCAGGGCCACAGUUUUUAUUUUAUUAUUCUUCAUUCUUAGUAGACAAUGAUCCUAUCAGCACCAUAGAAAAGGAAAGGGGAGAGGAGGAGUCAAGGUAGGAGGGAUGGGAGGUCACAGAGUGCUGUUCCUGCAGCGUCUGUCUUGAAGGGGUGAUUUCACGGUCUGUACGGGAAUGCAGGAGAGAAAUGCUGGAGGAUUCGUUUACACUUGUUAGAGACAGCCAGUUUUACAGCUAAAGCAAAUCUUUAGCCAAAUGUUAA
rnacentral:sRNA from 1 species